GUCAAACCAUAUGGGUAAAACAUAGGCAAACACAAUCAGUCUCAUAUAGGCUGCCUACAUGGGCCCAAGGUAGUACCCACAUAAGCUACCUCUAUAUGGGUUCUAAAUGGGGAAACACAUAUGGGGCCCUCUUGGUCAAACCAUAUGGGUAAAACAUGGGCAAACACAAUCAGUCCCAUAUAGGCUGCCUGCAUGGGCCCAAGGUAGUACCCACAAAGGCUACCUCUAUAUGGGUUCUGAAUGGGGA